rnacentral:rRNA from 1 species
GUGUCGGGGGUCGAACCUCGGUGCCGCAGCUAACGCAUUAAGCAUUCCACCUGGGGAGUACGAUCGCAAGAUUGAAACUCAAAGGAAUUGACGGGGGCCCGCACAAGCGGUGGAGCAUGUGGUUUAAUUUGAAGCAACGCGAAGAACCUUACCAAAUCUUGACAUCCUUCUGACCGUUCUUUAAUCGGAACUUUCCUUCGGGACAGAAGUGACAGGUGGUGCAUGGUUGUCGUCAGCUCGUGUCGUGAGAUGUUGGGUUAAGUCCCGCAACGAGCGCAACCCUUAUCUUUAGUAGCCAGCAAGUUAAGUUGGGGACUCUAGAGAGACUGCCGGGGACAACUCGGAGGAAGGUGGGGAUGACGUCAAAUCAUCAUGCCCCUUAUGAUUUGGGCUACACACGUGCUACAAUGGCGGUGACAAAGGGAAGCGAAAUGGUGACAUGGAGCAAACCCCAAAAAAGCCGUCCCAGUUCGGAUUGUAGUCUGCAACUCGACUACAUGAAGUUGGAAUCGCUAGUAAUCGCGAAUCAGAAUGUCGCGGUGAAUACGUUCCCGGGCCUUGUACACACCGCCCGUCACACCAUGGGAGUUGGAAGCGCCCGAAGCCAGUGACUCAACUGUAAAGAGAGAGCUGUCGAAGGUGAAGCCGAUGACUAGGGUGAAGUCGUAACAAGGUAGCCGUAUCGGAAGGUGCGGCUGGAUCACCUCCUU